rnacentral:rRNA from 1 species
AUACGGAGGAUCCGAGCGUUAUCCGGAUUUAUUGGGUUUAAAGGGAGCGUAGGUUGACGUAUAAGUCAGCUGUGAAAGUUUACGGCUCAACCGUGAAAUUGCAGUUGAUACUGUAUGUCUUGAGUGUACAAGAGGUGGGCGGAAUUCGUGGUGUAGCGGUGAAGUGCUUAGAUAUCACGAAGAACUCCAAUUGCGAAGGCAGCUCACUGGGGUACAACUGACACUGAGGCUCGAAAGUGUAGGUAUC